rnacentral:rRNA from 1 species
GACGUAGGUGGCGAACGUUAUCCGGAAUCAUUGGGCGGAAAGGGUGCGUAGAUGGCAUGAUAAGUUAUUAGUGGGAAAUCGAGGCUCAACCUCGUGGAAGCUAGUAAUACUGUUUUGCUUGAGUGCAGAAGAGGUUAACGGAACUCCAUGUGGAGCGGUAAAAUGCGUAGAUAUAUGGAAGAACAUCAAUAACGGCGAAGGCAGUUAACUAUUCUGUUACUGACAUUGAGGCACGAAAGCGUGGGGAGCAAAACGG